rnacentral:rRNA from 1 species
UGAAGCUGGAUUCGCUAGUAAUCGCGCAUCAGCCAUGGCGCGGUGAAUACGUUCCCGGGUCUUGUACACACCGCCCGUCACACCAUGGGAGUCGGAAAUGCCCGAAGUCUGUGACCCAACCUCAGGGAGGGAGCAGCCGAAGGCAGGUCGGAUGACUGGGGUGAAGUCGUAACAAGGUAGC